GGCUUGGUUCAGUGGUAGAACGACGGUCUCCAAAACCGCAGAUGGGAGUUCGAUUCUCUCAGCC
rnacentral:tRNA from 1 species